GGGUAUGUAUCUCAGGGGCAGAGCGCAUGCUUAGCAUGCGUGAAGUCCUGGGUUCAAUCCCCAACACCUCCA
rnacentral:tRNA from 1 species